rnacentral:tRNA from 1 species
UUUUGUUUUGGUAAGAGUUUUGAAAGCUCUUUUAGAGAAAAAAUUUCUCAACAAAAA